rnacentral:rRNA from 1 species
CAUAGGUUAAUGAGGCGAACCGGGGGAACUGAAACAUCUAAGUACCCCGAGGAAAAGAAAUCAACCGAGAUUCCCCCAGUAGCGGCGAGCGAACGGGGAGGAGCCCAGAGCCUGAAUCAGUGUGUGUGUUAGUGGAAGCGUCUGGAAAGGCGCGCGAUACAGGGUGACAGCCCCGUACACAAAAAUGCACAUAUUGUGAGCUCGAUGAGUAGGGCGGGACACGUGGUAUCCUGUCUGAAUAUGGGGGGACCAUCCUCCAAGGCUAAAUACUCCUGACUGACCGAUAGUGAACCAGUACCGUGAGGGAAAGGCGAAAAGAACCCCGGCGAGGGGAGUGAAAAAGAACCUGAAACCGUGUACGUACAAGCAGUGGGAGCCUCUUAAUGGGGUGACU